CAGUCGCCGCGGUAAUACGAAGGGUGCAAGCGUUAAUCGGAAUUACUGGGCGUAAAGCGUGCGUAGGUGGUGGUUUAAGUCCGUUGUGAAAGCCCUGGGCUCAACCUGGGAAUUGCAGUGGAUACUGGGUCACUAGAGUGUGGUAGAGGAUAGUGGAAUUUCCGGUGUAGCAGUGAAAUGCGUAGAGAUCGGAAGGAACAUCUGUGGCGAAGGCGACUAUCUGGGCCAACACUGACACUGAGGCACGAAAGCGUGGGGAGCAAACAGGAUUAGAUACCCGCGUAGUCCCUGUCUCUUAUAC
rnacentral:rRNA from 1 species